AUUGAACGCUGGCGGCAGGCCUAACACAUGCAAGUCGAACGAGUGGCGGACGGGUGAGUAAUGUCUGGGAAACUGCCUGAUGGAGGGGGAUAACUACUGGAAACGGUAGCUAAUACCGCAUACCAUCAGAUGUGCCCAGAUGGGAUUAGCUUGUUGGUGGGGUAACGGCUCACCAAGGCGACGAUCCCUAGCUGGUCUGAGAGGAUGACCGGCAACACUGGAACGGGGACACGGUCCAGACUCCGACGGGAGGCAGCAGUGGGGAAUAUUGCACAAUGGGCGCAAGCCUGAUGCAGCCAUGCCGCGUGUAUGAAGAAGGCCUUCGGGUUGUAAAGUACUUUCAGCGGGGAGGCGUUACCCGCAGAAGAAGCACCGGCUAACUCCGUGCCAGCAGCCGCGGUAAUUC
rnacentral:rRNA from 1 species